rnacentral:rRNA from 1 species
UGUUCUAACGUGGACCCGUUACCCGGGUUGCGGACAGUGUCUGGUGGGUAGUUUGACUGGGGCGGUCUCCUCCUAAAGAGUAACGGAGGAGCACGAAGGUUGGCUAAUCCUGGUCGGACAUCAGGAGGUUAGUGCAAUGGCAUAAGCCAGCUUGACUGCGAGCGUGACGGCGCGAGCAGGUGCGAAAGCAGGUCAUAGUGAUCCGGUGGUUCUGAAUGGAAGGGCCAUCGCUCAACGGAUAAAAGGUACUCCGGGGAUAACAGGCUGAUACCGCCCAAGAGUUCAUAUCGACGGCGGUGUUUGGCACCUCGAUGUCGGCUCAUCACAUCCUGGGGCUGAAGUAGGUCCCAAGGGUAUGGCUGUUCGCCAUUUAAAGUGGUACGCGAGCUGGGUUUAGAACGUCGUGAGACAGUUCGGUCCCUAUCUGCCGUGGGCGCUGGAGAACUGAGGGGGGCUGCUCCUAGUACGAGAGGACCGGAGUGGACGCAUCACUGGUGUUCGGGUUGUCAUGCCAAUGGCACUGCCCGGUAGCUAAAUGCGGAAGAGAUAAGUGCUGAAAGCAUCUAAGCACGAAACUUGCCCCGA